UUGAUUUUGUUGCAAAUGAACUCAAUUUUAUAAAUAAAAAAAUGUGUUUACCUCAACAUUGUAAUCGGUCCCACUCAGACCGAUCUUCAUCAACCACAACUUCUUUUAUGUAUCCCUAUUCCAUUGUGGGUAAAAGAAAAAGUAUGUUGCCUAUUUAGUAGUGUGACUAAAGUACAAGGCUAUUUCCCACAAUUUGAACAUUAAAAGAGCAAAAAUCAUGCCUUUAGUUUGAAGUUCAAUGAGAAGUUCAUUAACAUCACCAUUUUGCAGCAACUCUUCACGAACAAGAAGAGUUUCCUUGUAACAAAAAGCAUAUUAAAUAAAAUAAAUAAAUAAAACAACAAAAAUAUGUUUUUUACACAAGAUAUGUUAAGGAAGAUAAAUACCAUAACAUUACAGGCUACUGGGUAAUCUGUUUUUGCAUCCAAAAUUAUGUUUUUUCCUUUUUCCAUGUGAGUAGAUUUUAAAACAUAGACAUGACAAAUUUCAUCUAGAAAGUUAAAAAAAAAAAAAAAANAAAAAAAAAGCAAAAUUACUAAAUUGUCCUCAAACAUCUUUUAAUUUACGGAGAACAUAAAUCUUACCGGCAUGAGUGAAUGACCAAGAACAUGUAUUAUUGUUGCAGACUUUAUUUAAGAAAUCAGUUUAUUGUUGCCUCUUAGAAUCAUAAGAUUAACCCUUUACCAACUCCAUAUGGGAGACAUUAAUAUGUUUCAAUCACUAAAAGGUUAAUUAAGAAUUUAGUGCUUCUUCUCCGGUUGGUUCUAGAAUGAUAAUACAAAACAAUGUUGAUUAUAGUACCAUAUUCAUGAAGAAUGGAGAUAAUGAGUGCGUUAAAAAUGUGUUUAAGGUAAAAAAGAAAAUAUAAGUGAGGUGUUUGUAAUGUGAUGUACCACACAAAAGCAUAGUUACUGCAUAAACUUAUGAAGCUCAGUAUUGCANGCAUAAACCUAUGAAGCUCAGUAUUGCAAUUAUUACCCAUUAUUGUGUAUAAUUCACAAUGCUUGAGCAGGGUCUGAUGAUUACAUGAGCACAGGAACAAACAACUAUCGACUUAUAUAGAUUUACUUGCAUUGACAGAAAUGGAAAGCAAUGGAAGUAAUCAGUUGGAUGUCUCAACUGCUCACCAGAGUUUUCAAAACAUGGAUGUUGAUCUUUGUUUCAAAACUAAUGAUGAUCAGAAUCAGAUUAGCCCUUUCAGAAACUUCCUACAGAGGGACUUUGGUCAUAACAUGACCCAAUCAUCAGUUGUUGGCUCAUCUUGUGCUACCACAACAUUAAUGAAUUCACAAAAUGCUCCCUAAUUCUAAUACUCCCUUACAAUUGGAGUCCUAAUAAUCAUCCCAAAAUAAGAAGUAAAAAAUCACAGGUAUCCUCACAAAUUACAUAAAUGGACUCUAGUUAGGAAUGGUGAAUGUAGUACAAAAAUAGCUACAAGUCCAAGAGACAUUGAUUUGACGAAUAAACAUGGUAAAAGAUCUCAGAAGACUAUAAUCAAACAAACUAAUCACAAAUCUCGAAUAGACAUACGAUAUUCCAAGCAGAGGAACUAUAAUCAAGAGCAAUGUCAUCACUAAUUAGAAAUUGGUUCAUGUAAAUGCCGAUCAAAAAUCAUAUAUUUUUUCUCAGCAAUCAAGCGUGAAACCACUAAAUUGGCAAACAAUUUGACUCAAUCGAUUGAUUUUCUCCACUACUACAUAAAAGUUAAGAACUGUUCAACCAAAUCUGCAUUGCAAGUAGAUAAUCGAUUGCAAAAAAAAUAAAUUUGAGCAAAUAAGAAACUUAUGACUUAUUUAUGUUGAAUAAUCUAAUGGAGAGAUCAAUAUCCUCUGAUCCAUUGGAUGAUAGAACGAGAAAAUAGAGCAAAAAGAAGAGAGAAGAAUGUUACCUGGUGAAUGCGAAAUCCCCAGGAGCUUUAGAUUUGCUUGAAAAGAUGCUUGUAUUGGGACGAACGGAGUUGAUUUCGAUAUGUGUAGGGAGAAUGCGAAAUCGAUUAACAUGGUGUUCAGUUCGCUUAUAUGAACGAAUUGAUGAAUUCGAUUUGGAUUUGACUUUUUGGAGUCAAAUAAGGUUCAACUGAUUUUGGUUGUUCACAGCAGGGACGUUAAAUUCCUUGGGGACGAUCGGGUUUCGCAUUGAAUGCUUAUACUUCGGGUCAAAAUUGAGUUCGCAUCUACGAUCAGCUAUUGGGGUUGUUGAUGCUUUGCUUUGCUACUGCUGUGUGGUUUGUUCAUUCGCAUCUAGUAACAAAUUUGGCGAAGAAAGAAAAGUGUUUGCAUAUGGUCCUUACAGUUUCAGUGUUUUGGCAGUUACUACCCACUUUCGCAAUAGGAGUAAAGUUUUGUGAAGUAUGCAGAAUUUUCUAUUCGAAUCCCUACAGUUUAUGCGAAGUGGCAAAUUUUACCCAGUUUCACAUUUGGCGUAUUUUUACCAAAUAGCUUCCUCUGGUAUUUUA
rnacentral:lncRNA from 1 species